GCCUAGCUUGCUAGGUGGAUUAGUGGCGCACGGGUGAGUAAUAUAUAGAUAACGUGCCUCUUAGUCUGGGAUAGCCAUUGGAAACGAUGAUUAAUACUAGACACUCCUUCUAACUCUAAUGUUAGUCGGGAAAGUUUUUCGCUAAGAGAUCGGUCUAUAUCCCAUCAGCUAGUUGGUAGUGUAAGAGACUACCAAGGCAAUGACGGGUAGCGGGUUUGAGAGGAUGAUCCGCCACACUGGUACUGAGACACGGACCAGACUCCUACGGGAGGCAGCAGUGAGGAAUAUUGCACAAUGGAGGAAACUCUGAUGCAGCAACGCCGCGUGGAGGAUGACGCAUUUCGGUGUGUAAACUCCUUUUAUAUGUCAAGAAAAUGACGGUAGCAUAUGAAUAAGCACCGGCUAACUCCGUGCCAGCAGCCGCGGUAAUACGGAGGGUGCAAGCGUUAUUCGGAAUCACUGGGCGUAAAGGACGCGUAGGCGGGAUGC
rnacentral:rRNA from 1 species